rnacentral:rRNA from 1 species
UACGUAGGGUGCAAGCGUUGUCCGGAAUUAUUUGGCGUAAAGAGCUCGUAGGCGGUCUGUUGCGUCGGCUGUGAAAACCCGGGGCUCAACUCCGGGCCUGCAGCCGAUACGGGCAGACUAGAGUUCGGCAGGGGAGACUGGAAUUCCUGGUGUAGCGGUGAAAUGCGCAGAUAUCAGGAGGAACACCGGUGGCGAAGGCGGGUCUCUGGGCCGAUACUGACGCUGAGGAGCGAAAGCGUGGGGAGCGAACAGG